UGUAUUUGUAGCUGCAGAGUAUGAAACCCCAAAAAAUUCCUUGAACCAGGUUUCACUUUGGGAUGCAAUCAUACCAACGAAAGAACAUGCAAACUUUUGGAUCCAAACUGCAAACAAAUAUCGUUUUGUUGACCAGGGGAGCAAUCUUCGUGGUAAAGAAUUCAAUUUGACUUUGCACUGGCAUGUCAUGCCCAAGACCGGCAAAAUGUUUGCCGACAAAAUAGUCAUGUCCGGAUACCGCUUGCCUGAGGAAUAUAGAUGAGGAUGGGAUAUUUUGUGUACCUUUUUGAGCUGUAACUUAAGACAUUUAAAUAUGGGAUGAUAAAGUUAGGCUGAAUUAAAAAAACUAGAAACAGAGAAACGAAUAUUGUUGAAAAAGAAAAUGAUUAUUG
rnacentral:misc_RNA from 1 species